UGAGGAACAUGACCUUCGGCGGGGGAUAGCCGGCCCAACGGCCGGGUAAUACCGCGUACGACCACAUGGGGACAUCCCCGAGUGGUGAAAGCAGCAAUGCGCCGAUGGAGUGCCUCGCGGCCUAUCAGCUAGUUGGUGAGGUAACGGCUCACCAAGGCGACGACGGGUAGCUGGUCUGAGAGGAUGGCCAGCCACAUUGGGACUGAGACACGGCCCAGACUCCGUAGGAGG
rnacentral:rRNA from 1 species